rnacentral:rRNA from 1 species
CGGGAACUGUGAGACAGGUGCUGCAUGGCUGUCGUCAGCUCGUGUUGUGAAAUGUUGGGUUAAGUCCCGCAACGAGCGCAACCCUUAUCCUUUGUUGCCAGCGGUCCGGCCGGGAACUCAAAGGAGACUGCCAGUGAUAAACUGGAGGAAGGUGGGGAUGACGUCAAGUCAUCAUGGCCCUUACGACCAGGGCUACACACGUGCUACAAUG